GUAACAAGGUUUCCGUAGGUGAACCUGCGGAAGGAUCAUUGCACACACGAGAAGCAAACCCACGGCGAACGCAACAUUGUCCCCCCCCCCUUCUUCAUUGGGUCGGGGGCGGGGCGCAUGGUGUCCCGCGCGUCCCCGGGCGCGCGGGCGCCUUGUCGUCCCCCCACCCCCGGCUCGGUUGGCGCGAUGCACAAAUAAUUCGAACGUGACUGAGUCCCUGUGAGAUCUGUUCUUACUUUCGGCGGGGUUUCGACCCCGCCCGAGUUGAAUGAUUUUCGUGGUCAUGAAUAACCGAAAACACAACUCUCAGCAACGGAUAUCUUGGCUCCUGCAACGAUGAAGAACGCAGCGAAAUGCGAUACGUAGUGUGAAUUGCAGAAUUCCGCGAAUCAUCGAGUCUUUGAACGCAAGUUGCGCCCGAGGCUUGUCCGAGGGCAUUUCCGUCAGAGCGUCACCGCGCGCCCCCCGCCGAGCCCCCCGCGGCUCGAGCGGAAGUGUGCCCGUCCCGGCCGACGAGGCCGGGUCGGGUGAAAUGGAGGGAAUUUGGCCGGCGUGGUGACGCAGCCCGCGAUCAGGUGAUCCGUAAAAGGAAGCUAAGUGCGCGGCUGCGUCGCCCAGUUGGGCGAUUGAGCAAGUUCCGGAGCAGGUCCUCCCCCGCGUCGCGUUGCGCAGCCGGGGAGGGAACCCAGUGACGCAUCAGACCUCUGAUCGGAAAAGACCACCCGCUGAGUUUAAGCAUAUCACUA
rnacentral:sRNA from 1 species